UGUUCUGUGGCUUAGUUGGUUAAGGCGCCGGUCUCCAUAUUCGCUAGUCGUGGGUUCGAAUCUCACCAGAUUGU
rnacentral:tRNA from 1 species